AUUGAACGCUGGCGGCAUGCCUUACACAUGCAAGUCGAACGGCAGCGGACCUUCGGGUGCCGGCGAGUGGCGAACGGGUGAGUAAAGUAUCGGAACGUACCCUAGAGUGGGGGAUAACUCUCCGAAAGGAGGGCUAAUACAGCAUAUUCUAUGCGUAGGAAAGCAGGGGACCUUCGGACCCUGUGCUACUAGAGCGGCCGAUGGCAGAUUAGGUAGUUGGUGGGAUAAAAGCUUACCAAGCCGCCGAUCUGUAGCUGGUCUGAGAGGACGAUCAGCCAGACUGGGACUGAGACACUGCCCAGACUCCUACGGGAGGCAGCAGUGGGGAAUUUUGGACAAUGGGCGCAAGCCUGAUCCAGCAAUGCCGCGUGCAGGAUGAAGGCCUUCGGGUUGUAAACUGCUUUUGUACGGAACGAAAAGCCCUGGGUUAAUACCCUGGGGUCAUGACGGUACCGUAAGAAUAAGCACCGGCUAACUACGUGCCAGCCGCCGCAGUAA
rnacentral:rRNA from 1 species